UGAUCCUACGGGGGGCAGCAGUGGGGAAUCUUCCGCAAUGGGCGAAAGCCUGACGGAGCAAUGCCGCGUGAGUGAAGAAGGCUUUCGGAUUGUAAACUUCUGUUCUUAGUGAAGAAAAAUGACGGUAGCUAAGGAGCAAGCCACGGCUAACUACGUGCCAGCAGCCGCGGUAAUACGUAGGUGGCAAGCGUUGUCCGGAAUUACUGGGUGUAAAGGGAGCGCAGGCGGGAAGCCAAGUCAGUUGUGAAAACUACGGGCUUAACUUGUAGACUGCAGUUGAAACUGGUUUUCUUGAGUGAAGUAGG
rnacentral:rRNA from 1 species